AUGGCCGAAUGCUUCAAUAGGGUGCUCAAAGGUGCACGUGGAUUACCCGUGACGGCAAUAGUUCAAUACACAUUUGACAAGAUGAAUGCGUACUUUCUAAAGUACUCAAUGGAAACUGAUGCACAGAUAGCGGGUGAGAACCCGCGCAAGUACAAGUACAAGUUCCCACCCAAGGUUGAUGAAUGGUUAGAAUUUCAAUCACGAAAGGCAGACUCAGAAGAAGCUAUAUUAUAUGACAACGAAGAGUGGAAGUAUGAAGUGAAAGAGCCAGGAGGAACCACAAACGAUGGCCGGCAACAUGGAGGUCGGGCUUUCAAGAUGUCGUUAACACAAUGUGAUUGCUCUUGCGGGAGGCCAUUGUUGCUUCAUCUCCCAUGCUCACAUUUGUAUACCGCCGGUCGCGUUAGAAAUGUGGACAUCAAUCACCCACGCACCGUGAGGGAGUUGGAGUUCUCAAUCAUGACGGUCAAGAAAACAUGGGCUCCCCGCUUUCACCCAUACUUUGACCAAUCACAAUGGCCGGAGUACCAUGGAGUUCAACUAUGGCCGGAUCCG
rnacentral:rRNA from 1 species